GCAACACGAGCCUGAACGGCUUGAUUUCUUUGGAAAUCAAUUGGCUUCGUUGUUGCGAUGUUGUGUUUGCAAACUCGUAUUUCGAGUUAGGUAGAUUUCUACCAUAAUGUUUUGUCCACACUCCCUGUGACAAAACAUAUACUUCCUGUAUUUAUUUUUGACCUGUCUGUCAAAUUUGUUACACCGCCUAAAUUAGGCGGUGUUUUUUUAU
rnacentral:other from 3 species